GUGCCAGCAGCCGCGGUAAUACGAAGGGUGCAAGCGUUAAUCGGAAUUACUGGGCGUAAAGCGUGCGUAGACGGCCUUUUAAGUCUGCUGUGAAAGCCCUGGGCUCAACCUGGGAACUGCAGUGGAUACUGUGAGGCUGGAGUGCGGUAGAGGAUGGUGGAAUUCCCGGUGUAGCGGUGAAAUGCGUAGAGAUCGGGAGGAACAUCAGUGGCGAAGGCGGCCAUCUGGACCAGCACUGACGUUGAGGCACGAAAGCGUGGGGAGCAAACAGGAUUAGAAACCCCGGUAGUCC
rnacentral:rRNA from 1 species